GAUGAACGCUGGCGGCGUGCCUAAUACAUGCAAGUCGAGCGAACAGACGAGGAGCUUGCUCCUUCGACGUUAGCGGCGGACGGGUGAGUAACACGUAGGUAACCUACCUAUAAGACUGGGAUAACUUCGGGAAACCGGAGCUAAUACCGGAUAAUAUUUCGAACCGCAUGGUUCGAUCGUGAAAGAUGGCUUUGCUAUCACUUAUAGAUGGACCUGCGCCGUAUUAGCUAGUUGGUAAGGUAACGGCUUACCAAGGCAACGAUACGUAGCCGACCUGAGAGGGGGAUCGGCCACACUGGAACUGGGACACGGUCCAGACUCCUACGGGAGGCAGCAGUAGGGAAUCUUCCGCAAUGGACGAAAGCCUGACGGAGCAACGCCGCGUGAGUGAUGAAGGUCUUCGGAUCGUAAAACUCUGUUAUUAGGGAAGAACAAACGUGUAAGUAACUGUGCACGUCUUGACGGUACCUAAUCAGAAAGCCACGGCUAACUACGUG
rnacentral:rRNA from 1 species